CGAUCAGCCACACUGGAACUGAGACACGGUCCAGACUCCUACGGGAGGCAGCAGUGGGGAAUCUUGCGCAAUGGGCGAAAGCCUGACGCAGCAACGCCGCGUGCGGGAUGACGGCCUUCGGGUUGUAAACCGCUUCAGCAGGGACGAAAAUGACGGUACCUGCAGAAGAAGCUCCGGCUAACUACGUGCCAGCAGCCGCGGUAAUACGUAGGGAGCAAGCGUUGUCCGGAUUUAUUGGGCGUAAAGAGCUCGUAGGCGGUUCCGUAAGUCGAGUGUGAAAAAUCUGGGCUCAACCCAGUGGAGCACUCGAUACUGCGGUGACUAGAGUCCGGUAGGGGAGUGUGGAAUUCCUGGUGUAGCGGUGAAAUGCGCAGAUAUCAGGAGGAACACCGACGGCGAAGGCAGCACUCUGGGCCGGUACUGACGCUGAGGAGCGAAAGCGUGGGGAGCAAACAGGAUUAGAUACCCUGGUAGUCCACGCCGUAAACGUUGGGCACUAGUGUGGGAGGGAGUCAACCCCUUCCGUGCCGUAGCUAACGCAUUAAGUGCCCCGCCUGGGGAGUACGGCCGCAAGGCUAAACCCAAAGGAAUUGACGGGGGCCCGCACAGCGGCGGAGCAUGUUGCUUAAUUCGAGGCACGCGAGACCUUACCUGGGU
rnacentral:rRNA from 1 species